AUGAAGACCUGUAUGAAUGGCAUAACGAGGGCCUAGCUGUCUCCUUUUUCAGGUCAAUGAAAUUGAUCUCCCCGUGCAGAAGCGGGCAUGAUCCCAUAAGACGAGAAGACCCUAUGGAGCUUUAGACAAAAGGUAGACCAUGUUAAACACCCUUUGAUAAAAGGCCAAACUCAAUAUCCACUACCCAAAUGUC
rnacentral:rRNA from 1 species